GCUGGUGUGGCUCAGUGGAUUGAGCGUCGGCCUGCGGACCGAAGGGUCCCAGGUUCGAUUCCGGCCACCGGUA
rnacentral:tRNA from 1 species